rnacentral:rRNA from 1 species
CAGUAGCCGCGGUAAUACGUAGGUGGCAAGCGUUGUCCGGAAUUAUUGGGCGUAAAGGGCUCGCAGGCGGUUUCUUAAGUCUGAUGUGAAAGCCCCCGGCUCAACCGGGGAGGGUCAUUGGAAACUGGGAAACUUGAGUGCAGAAGAGGAGAGUGGAAUUCCACGUGUAGCGGUGAAAUGCGUAGAGAUGUGGAGGAACACCAGUGGCGAAGGCGACUCUCUGGUCUGUAACUGACGCUGAGGAGCGAAAGCGUGGGGAGCAAACAGGAUUAGAUACCCCUGUAGUCCCUGUCUCUUAUAC